CCUCCCUAACCCCGCACACACAUUCCCCCAGUUACUCAGGAAAUACUAAUUUAGGUGCAGUGGUAAGAGAUUUUACAUAUGCAAUUAAAGGUCCCAAAUCAGCUGACCUUAAAAUCUGGAAAUUAUCUUUGGUGGGCCUGACUUAAGCAGGUGAGCCUUGAAUGUAAUUAGGCUUUUUCCUGGUAAAAGAUUAGACGCAUGCAAAGGAUUUAUUAGGGGCAAGAUUCUCCUCUGCUAGCUGUUGAGAUGAAGUGGGGCAGUGGCAAGGAAACUGGGCAGCCUUUAGAAGCUGAGAGUAACCCCUGACUGACUGAUAGCAAAGAAAGAGGAGAAAUUAAAUUCUGCCCAGUGAGCUUGGAAGAGAACCCUGAGCUCCAUGUGAAAACAGAGCAGCAGCUAACACCCUGACUCUAGCUUUGUGGGAACCUAAACAGAGAAGCUAGUCAAAGCUAUGGUUUUUCCAGUAGAAUUGAUGCUUUUGAACUUUGGUGUUGGAGAAGACUCUUGAGGGUCCCUUGGACUGCAAGGAGAUCCAAUCAAUCCAUCCUAAAGGAAAUCAGUCCUGAAUAUUCAUUGGAAGGACUGAUGCUGAAGCUGAAACUCCAAUACUUUGGCCACCUGAUGAGAAGAACUGACUCACUGGAAAAAACCCUGAUGCCGGGAACGAUUGAAGGCAAGAGGAGAAGGGGACAACAGAGGAUGAGACGGUUGGAUGGCAUCACUGACUCAAUGGACAUGAGUUUGAGCCAUCUCCAGGAGUUGGUGACGGACAGGGAAGCCUAGCGUGCUGCAGUCCAUGGGGUCACAAAGAGUCGGACACUGAACUGAACUGACUGAAACAGAACCAGCCACGCUUUGUCAAGCUGCUAACUUUGUGGUAAUUUGUUAUACAGCCAUAGAAAAUGAAUACAGGUGGUCAUUUGAAAGAGAGAGACUGCCUGGACAAAGGCGCAGAGGUGUAGAGCAGCAAAAGUUUUUAAAAACAAGAUGGAAGAGUGGAAUAGCCAUCAUCAUUCCUGGAAUAUAACAAUGCUUUCUUCUGCCGGUGUCAGGAGGGGCGCUCCAUCCAGCAGCUGGGCGAUAAUACCCGUUAAGGGUGCCAAGGACUGGACCUUGAUGACUGUCCGUUUGUCAUUUGCGCCCAAGGCAAGAUGCUGGGAAGAAGGGCGCCUUCCUGUCAGCAUCUAUUACUCUGGAGUGAACAGUCUUUGUACCAUUCACUUUCAAAAAUCUAGACCCACCCCCUCCCACCUCCUUGGAUGCUCACAGUUGCUUCAUCUCUCCUGUGGGUUCACUUCCAAGGAGCUUCUUCCCCUGGACUCAGCCCUCAAGCAUUCUAAUUGAAAAUACCACCACCACCGCCCCCCACCCCAGGCCUAAAGCCUGGCUCCACUACCUGCUGCUUUGUCCCUAAAGUAGAGGCUUACGAUUAAACCACAGAAAAAGCACCGGCCCGAGUGAGCAAGAAAACAGCAGGAGCCCAAGGACUCCUGUGAACAAAGAGUCUGAUUGUUUUCAUGCAAAUUGUUUUUAGUAGGAGGGAGAUAACAGGCAAAUGAAAUAUGGGAGAUAGGCAGAGAUUUUUUUUUUUUUCUAAAGCAGUGGAAGGGGCUGGUAGUUCUUUAAUAAAACCACAGCACAUCUUAUUACAGGGAAACAUCCAGCUCCCACAUUUUUUAUUGAAUGAAAGAGAAUUUCUGCUCUCCACUCUGGCUCCUCUUCCUCCCCUUCCAGUCCAGUGCAAUUAUGUCUCUUUCUGCUUUCCUGACAGUUCAUCUUAGCCUUGUCUGAAAUAGUCUGUUUUGGAAUGUUACUGCUACCUAAUAAUGAAAAGUGUAUCACCAGAGAGUGAUUUUAAGUGAUAGGGAGAAUAAGCAACAUUAAUUCUACUAGUUGUCUGUUUAUUAUUAACAUACUUAAGAAAUACUGUGUCUAGCACAUCCAAUCCAUGAUUUUAUUACAGGUAAUGGCAGCCCUGGUUUUAAAAAGUGAAUUAAUAUAGAGCCAAUAAAGAGAAAAGUAUUAAAU
ensembl:lncRNA